rnacentral:rRNA from 1 species
UACGAAGGGGGCUAGCGUUGUUCGGAAUCACUGGGCGUAAAGCGCACGUAGGCGGAUCGGUAAGUCAGAGGUGAAAGCCCGGGGCCCAACCCCGGAAUUGCCUUUGAAACUACCAAUCUUGAGACCGAGAGAGGUCAGUGGAAUUCCGAGUGUAGGGGUGAAAUCCGUAGAUAUUAGGAGGAACACCAGCGGCGAAGGCGGCUCACUGGAUGGAUACUGACGCUGAGGUGCGAAAGCGUGGGGAGCAAACAGG